UUUGAACUGAAGAGUUUGAUUCUGGCUCAGAUUGAACGCUGGC
rnacentral:rRNA from 1 species